CAUGCAAGUCGAACGAACCUUCGGGUUAGUGGCGGACGGGUGAGUAACGCGUGAGAAUCUGCCCUCAGGAGGGGGAUAACAGUUGGAAACGACUGCUAAUACCCCAUAUGCCGAGAGGUGAAAUGAAUUUCGCCUGGGGAUGAGCUCGCGUCUGAUUAGCUUGUUGGUGGGGUAAUAGCCUACCAAGGCUUCGAUCAGUAGCUGGUCUGAGAGGACGAUCACCCACACUGGGACUGAGACACGGCCCAGACUCCUACGGGAGGCAGCAGUGGGGAAUUUUCCGCAAUGGGCGAAAGCCUGACGGAGCAACGCCGCGUGAGGGAUGGAGGCCUUUGGGCUGUAAACCUCUUUUCUCAAGGAAGAAGAUCUGACGGUACUUGAGGAAUAAGCCACGGCUAAUUCCGUGCCAGCAGCCGCGGUAAUACGGGAGUGGCAAGCGUUAUCCGGAAUUAUUGGGCGUAAAGCGUCCGCAGGCGGCCGUUUAAGUCUGUUGUUAAAUCGUGGAGCUCAACUCCAUCACGGCAAUGGAAACUGUUCGGCUUGAGUAUGGUAGGGGCAGAGGGAAUUUCCGGUGUAGCGGUGAAAUGCGUAGAUAUCGGGAAGAACACCAGUGGCGAAAGCGCUCUGCUGGGCCAUUACUGACG
rnacentral:rRNA from 1 species